CGCCUCGCUGCCAUUUAAAAGACACACUCUGAGCAGAACGUCUCUCCUUAUUCAGACAGAAUCUUGAUUUGGUUAGAACACAUCAUGCACUGUGUGAAGCGCUUGUCAGAAAGGAAAGGAACGGCUGUGACACACAUGAAGCAGAGCAGUCAGUGGCUUUGCACUUUGAUCCCAGAAUCACUGUAGUGAACAGCUGAAGAAGUGGACUUUUGAGAAGCCUUGUGAAGUUACACACACACACACAUAGUGCAAAGUACACACUCGAAAGCAGCAUGCAGCACAAAACAACGAAGACCACAACCGUGAUGGCAAAUGUUACGAAGCACUGCAUCGUCAGAAACCAACGCUUUUAAAACAGAAAGCUUGAGGUGAAAUGGACCCUGCGGCGGAGCCAUGGCUCGCAUCCAUACGGCGGUCCAUACGUGUGAUGACGGGCUCCGUGGAUGCAGUCUGAGUGGGGGCCAGAGAGGAGGUUCAGCCUGGGUCUCGUGUGUUUGUUGUUCAGGGCUUGGCUCCACAGAGGCUGGUGGUCAGACAGAGACCUGGGUCAUACCUGGACUGUUCUCUGCCAGUGACCGGAGCCGUCUGCCCCCGAGGGGCUCUUCUUGAAACCACACACAUGACUAAUAGCUCUGAGCUUUAGGAGGCUUUGUGGAACUUUAGUGUGAAGAGCAGCUGACCUCAAAGAGAUGGUGAGAGCCAGAGACGCUUUCUCAAUCACUUCUUUUCAGAAGAAACAGACCAACUGUACCAAGACCCUGGAGAGGAACCAGCUCCAAAACAGCCCUCGUACACUCUCAUUAUCUGACGAACCUGAUGCUGAAAUCCUUAUGGAUACCACAAGGACACGCACGAGACUACAGCUCUCGUUUUGUUCAACUCUGUUGGUUUAAAGGGUCUCUGUGUUU